rnacentral:rRNA from 1 species
UGCACAAUGGGCGCAAGCCUGAUGCAGCAACGCCGCGUGAGGGAUGAAGGCCUUCGGGUUGUAAACCUCUUUUAGCAGGGAAGAAGCGAAAGUGACGGUACCUGCAGAAAAAGCACCGGCUAACUACGUGCCAGCAGCCGCGGUAAUACGUAGGGUGCAAGCGUUGUCCGGAAUUAUUGGGCGUAAAGAGCUCGUAGGCGGUUUGUCGCGUCUGCUGUGAAAACCAGAAGCUCAACUUCUGGCCUGCAGUGGGUACGGGCAAACUAGAGUGCGGUAGGGGAGAACGGAAUUCCUGGUGUAGCGGUGGAAUGCGCAGAUAUCAGGAGGAACACCGAUGGCGAAGGCAGUUCUCUGGGCCGUUACUGACGCUGAGGAGCGAAAGCGUGGGGAGCGAACAGGAUUAGAUACCCUGGUAGUCCACGCCGUAAACGGUGGGUGCUAGCUGUGGGCCACAUUCCACGUGGUCCGUGACGAAGUUAACACAUUAAGCACCCCGCCUGGGGAGUACGGCCGCAAGGCUAAAACUCAAAGGAAUUGACGGGGGCCCGCACAAGCGGCGGAGCAUGCGGAUUAAUUCGAUGCAACGCGAAGAACCUUACCAAGGCUUGACAUAUAGAGGAAAAGUACAGAAAUGUACUCCCCGUAAGGUCUCUAUACAGGUGGUGCAUGGUUGUCGUCAGCUCGUGUCGUGAGAUGUUGGGUUAAGUCCCGCAACGAGCGCAACCCUCGUCCUAUGUUGCCAGCACGUUAUGGUGGGAACUCAUGGGAUACUGCCGGGGUCAACUCGGAGGAAGGUGGGGAUGACGUCAAAUCAUCAUGCCCCUUAUGUCUUGGGCUUCACGCAUGCUACAAUGGCCGGUACAGAGGGCUGCAAUACCGUAAGGUGGAGCGAAUCCCAAAAAGCCGGUCUCAGUUCGGAUUGAGGUCUGCAACUCGACCUCAUGAAGUCGGAGUCGCUAGUAAUCGUAGAUCAGCAACGCUACGGU